rnacentral:rRNA from 1 species
UACGGAGGGUGCAAGCGUUGCUCGGAAUUAUUGGGCGUAAAGGGUAGGUAGGUGGUCUCAUUUGUCAGGGGUGAAAGCCUUGGGCUUAACUCAAGAAGUGCCCCUGAAACGGUGAGACUCGAGUUCUGGAGAGGGUCGUGGAAUUCCCGGUGUAGCGGUGAAAUGCGUAGAGAUCGGGAGGAACACCAGAGGCGAAGGCGGCGACCUGGACAGAUACUGACACUAAACUACGAAAGCGUGGGGAGCAAACAGG